rnacentral:tRNA from 1 species
GGGCGCGUAGCUCAGUGGUAGAGCGUCCGCCUUACACGCGGAAGGUCUCAGGUUCAAGUCCUGACGCGCCCACCA